AUCAUGACAAUGGAUGUGUAUUCAUAAUUAGGACAUUACUGUACCUAUAAUUGUGUUGUUUUUUCUGGCUCAAGCUGCUCCUUCAGCUCGCCUUUUUUCCCUUUCCCUGUGAGGGUUGCCUUGGCCAAAGUUUCCCUUCCAAACACCAAUGUGGCCAGUUCCUGUGUGAAGAGGGACAUCCUCCUCCCACUCAGCCUCUGAUAGAGACGUGUUGGGACUUGCACUGAUGAGUUGCCCAAUGACAUCUGUGAAAACACACAAGCAGAUUAAGACAAAAGGGAAAAGGCAGAAGACGGUACAAGCAGUACCUUUACAGCACUGGCGUUGAAGUCCCUGACAGAAUUUUAGAAUGUCAUGACAGAGAACCUCCAGCUCACCAUGAUGCACCACUGCAGUCAACAGCAGGAAAACGGAAGAGUGCUGACAGUAAGAAUGGAUCAGCUGCUGAGGACGAUGUGGUUAAUAUAGGAGAGCACCAGACCAUGCAAGGACCAGGGGCUGAGAGACCCAACCCAAAUCCAUCACAGGUAAGAUAACAAUUACUCACAGGCCAGCAUUUGCAUUACAGGUUGCUUUACUUCUAGUGCUUUAAAGGAGCAUUUCACCCGUGGAAACAUUA
rnacentral:lncRNA from 15 species